rnacentral:snRNA from 1 species
GGUUGCAGGUUGAUCUGGCUAUGACAUUUGUCACCUUGUUGUCAGCACUGAUUCAGCUGGUCUGAAGAGCUAGGCGGGUGUCCCCUCUUCCUUCACCAGUCCAGUGCAUUCCUCCCAAAGCGGCAUAUUCUGUGGAAGGGGAUGACCAUCAGAAAUACUGUAGAAGGAAUAUAUUGUUCUUUGGUCAAGGGUAUAUGAGAGCUGCACUGGUUCCAUACCAUGUAGCAUACAUCAUUUACAGUAUAUCGAUUCAGAGAAAAGAUUGCAGGAGAGCCGCUUACCUCUGUAAGU